rnacentral:rRNA from 1 species
UACGUAGGGUGCGAGCGUUGUCCGGAAUUAUUGGGCGUAAAGAGCUCGUAGGCGGUCUGUCGCGUCGAUCGUGAAAACUUGGGGGCUUAACCCUGAGCUUGCGGUCGAUACGGGCAUGACUGGAGUUCGGCAGGGGAGACUGGAAUCCUGGUGUAGCGGUGAAAUGCGCAGAUAUCAGGAGGAACACCGGUGGCGAAGGCGGGUCUCUGGGCCGAUACUGACGCUGAGGAGCGAAAGCGUGGGGAGCAAACAGG